rnacentral:rRNA from 1 species
UACAGAGGUGGCAAGCGUUGUUCGGAAUUACUGGGCGUAAAGGGCGCGUAGGCGGCUCGACAAGUCCCGUGUGAAAUCUCCCGGCUCAACUGGGAGGGUGCGCCGAAAACUGUAGUGCUCGAACGUGGGAGAGGAAAGCGGAAUUCCUGGUGUAGCGGUGAAAUGCGUAGAUAUCAGGAGGAACACCUGCGGUGUAGACGGCUCUCUGGGACGGUACUGACGCUGAGACGCGAAAGCGUGGGGAGCGAACAGG